UAAAUUUACGGACAUUCCAACGAAGAAACACCCGUAAAUAAACUGAACGCUCUUCGUAUUUCUGUAAAACGGAAUCUCCGUAAAAUUACGGUGGUAUUAGAGAGAGAGAGAUAGCUGUGCUAUCGCCCCCCUCUCUCAUUCACCGUUUAGUACCCUCUACGCAUGCGCGUAAUUUACUUCGGCGUACUUCGGCCUACUUCGUGAACUAUCAUUUGUUUUUUUCCCCAUGCAUUCCGUGUUACCGUGUUUUGUUGCUGUUUCUUAAUUCGCAUAUAUAUGGAAUUGUUCAAGAGAUAUUCCUAGUGAUUUUAUAUUAAUUAUUGUUGAAAUUAAGUUUACUGCUUUUAAGAUUGAUAAAAUACCUGCUACAUGUAAUGAAAAAAUAGCUUAGUCUGGAAGUUGACCGUGGUCAGCCAUGUGUGGAAGAAGAAAGCAAGCAAUUUUUCGAAGUUUUAUACAAUCGGAAGAAUUUUGUGAGUCCAUGCGCAAGGGCCAUCUCGCUAAUUCUCGGAAGUUUAUCUUGUUUGUGGACAAGAAAAUGUCCCUAGAAACAUCAGACGUAGUCCAUUAUGAAGAUUAAUCCUACUGUAUAAAAAAAGCAUCAAGGAAACCCCAGAGUUGGAACUUUGAAGAAAGUGACAGAUACAAUUACUAAAAUUGUUGAAUUGUCAAAGCUGUUGGAUGAUUUGUACAUGCAGAUUUGUGUGGUGUUUCAAGAUUUUUUUUUUUUAAUUAUUGUGAUUAAACAAUUCUAAUAUGAAUAUUUUACAUUUAUAUUUAUUUAAAAUGUUGGCUUAUAUUAACAAUGCAUUUUGUAAAUAAAUAUUUAUAAAGGUAUAGCUCAUUUAUUUAUUUUAAUUUUUGAAAAUUUACCAGCACAUAAACAAAGGAACUAUGUGCUACGAUUAUGGUUCUUAUGUCUUACAAUGGCAUAUUCUGUACGUUAAUCAACUAGCAGUGCUGCUAAAUAUUAUGUUUUUUUGUUGUUUAAUGUUUCAAUUUUGUAACAGAAACUAUGUCUCCUAAGCAAAACUUAUUGUGGGAAUUUUUAGCAAAAAUUUUCGGGAUUUACAUAUCAUUAUAAGCUCUAUUGGUGUGUUUUUGCACUAAAAUAAUAAUAAAUACAGUAAAUGGAUAUUUAUUCAAAACUAGAUGAUUUAAGUACAAUGUAUCUAUACUUUUUAUUACUUCACAAGUUAACAUACUUUUUCAUUGUAGUAUAAACACUGGUCCUACUUCCUACAAAUAUAUAAACUUAAAAAUUUUAAGGUUCAUAUGCUUUUCAAUUGUGCUUUUUACACUUAACCAAUUUGGUUACAGUUUGAUACAUAGGUAGCCCAUAUACUGGAUUAACACAAAUGCUAUAGAGUAACUUAUCAUUAAAAGUAUCCAAAAAACCCAUACUUUGGUACUUUUUAAUACUGUAUGCCUCAAAGUGUGUUGCUUUGUAAUGAUUUUUCACUAAUAAAAAAUUCCACCCCUCAGGGAGGGGUGAUAAGUAUCAUAAAAAUACCUCACAAUUAGGCUAAAUGAAGCAUAAGGCAAGGUUGAGUAUCCUACUAAUCUUUAAAUUAUGUAAUUUUUUGAGUUUAAAAGUUUAUAACGUAAUGAAGUCUUUGCUACUUACCUGAUUUUGAUAAAAUUUAAAACAGGAUUCGUAUCUUCUAGAUUAUAGUCUAACAAAUAAUGGAGUUAAUGUAAGAAUGUGAGUAAAUAUAAUAUUUUUAACUAUGACAUUUUAUCAUAUUUAGAUAAAGAAUACCAUUUUUUAAUUGGGAAGAAGUCAGGGCUUAGUAUAUUCUAAAUGGCUCCUUCUGACUUCUUAUACAUUCGACAAAAUAAAGAGAUUUUAUGUAACUGGAUUUUCCACACAAAACCCUCAAUAUACACUGUACAUGAUUAAAAUUCCACCUCUAAAUUGGGUUUAUAAUAGAAAAUGGUAGAAAGUAAUUUAUUUGGUGUGAAUUGUAAAAUGGCCAUUAAGUAAAACAUGUAGAGGCUUAGAGUUAUGUUUUUGCUCCAAAAGUAAGCUAUAUAGUUAUUAUAAGCACAAAAAUUAAGAGUGCUAUGUAUUUAAUUGCAUUCUAAAAUAGCAUGACUUUACUGUAAUUAUACUGGUUACAAAUUACCCAGAGAAUUUCAUAAAUUAACAUGUACUACACCAUGGAAAAUAACUUUAUCUUUGUAAAUUUUACAAGUGCUGUAAACAUAAUGGUAAAACAAUAUUUUUAUGCUACGGAGUUUCAGUAAUUUUUACAGAACUUUUGUAAAUUUGAGGAACAAUCUGUAUUUGAAUAUUACGAAGUUAUCGUAUAUUUACUGCAUUGGUUUUGAAAUUUACAAAUAAUCUUUAUUUGAAUUUCACAAUGUACUUGUAUAUUUACAGUAUUAAUUGUAAAAUUUACUAAGAAUACAUUUUUUAGUAUUACGAAGUACCGGUAUAUUUACGGCAUUGGUCGUGAAAUUUACGAAGAAUCCAUAUCUGAGAAUUACAAAGUACUAGUAUAUCUACGGCAUUGGUAGUGAAAUUUACGAAGAAUCCGUAUCUGGGUUUUACGAAGUACUAAUAUAUUUACGGCAUUGGUCGUGAAAUUUACGAAGAAUCCGUAUCUGGGUUUUACGAAGUACUAGUAUAUUUACGGCAUUGGUCGUGAAAUUUACGAAGAAUCCGUAUCUGAGUUUUACGAAGUACUGGUAUAUUUACGGCAUUGGUCGUGAAAUUUACGAAGAAUCCGUAACUGAGUUUUACGAAGUACUAGUAUAUUUACGGCAUUGGUUGUGAAAUUUACGGAGAUUUAGUUUUUUUCCCUAAUGAAGUAACCGUAAAUUUACGAAGACCACCGGAGAAUUUUUUUCCGGUACUUUUCGUAAAUUUACGGUAAAAUUUUUUAACAGUGUAGAUGACUUGUAAUUAAU